rnacentral:tRNA from 1 species
AGCGCCCCGCGAAGGUCUGCAAAACCUUCAUCGCGGGUUCGAUUCCCGC